rnacentral:misc_RNA from 1 species
GAUGAAGAACGCAGCGAAAUGCGAUAAGUAAUGUGAAUUGCAGAAUUCAGUGAAUCAUCGAAUCUUUGAACGCACCUUGCGCUCCUUGGUAUUCCGAGGAGCAUGCCUGUUUGAGUGUCAUUAAUAUAUCAACCUCUUAAGCUUAUGCUUGUUGAGUGUUGGAUGGUGGGGGUUUGCUGGUGUCUUAUGAAGUCAGCUCCUCUGAAAUGCAUUAGCGGAACAAUUUGUUGACCGUUCAUUGGUGUGAUAAAAAUAUCUACGCUAUUGACGUCAGUCAGUUCAGCUUCUAACAGUCCAUUGACUUGGACAAAUUUUUCAUUAAUGUGACCUCAAAUCAGGUAGGACUACCCGCUGAACUUAAGCAUAUCAAUAAGCGGAGGA